UUACAACCUUUGAGGGAGCAGAGUAGUUAGGGCUUGCGUGGUAAGAGAGGGAAUGUCGAGGCUGAAAACAUUUCUCCAUGUGCUUAAUGAAUGAACACUCCUUAGGUUUUUCCCUGAAUGAAAGUUGCUGUCGGCGAUUUUUUAAUAGGGGAAAACGUCUACAGGCGUUAACUGUCUAAAGUGGGACUUAUAUUAAAAAUAUUCGUUCAAUUAGGGUGGCACCACGGGAUCAAAACUCUCGUCCCUGAU
rnacentral:ncRNA from 1 species